rnacentral:ncRNA from 1 species
ACGCCGCUCCGGCGGCGUCCGUGCUCCUUGAGGGGGGCCAGAACAAGCGGGGGUGGUGCCGUGUCGGCGCAGCACCACCCCCGCGAU